GUCUAAACGUCAGAGGUAUCGGAUUCACAUGGAAUUGUUGUUUAAUUCAAAUGUUUGAAUAUGACAUUAUUUGUGAAGAGAUGAAAUGUAAUUUUAGCUUCCAAAUGAGAGAUCUGUGCUUUCAUAAGUUUCUCUGCUCACAGUGGUCCGCCCCUGUGAAGAGGAAUGGGUUAUAAACCUUUCAGACACACCCCUCUCCCUCCACUAUAAAAGCCAUUUUCCCAGAAAAUAACUUCCUGUUCCGGGUACUCUAGGAUGACGAUCCAGGGUCAGAAUGGUUCAGAUAAUCACUAUAGAUGAAGCCAACAUCAGCAUGGACUUUGAUUGUGAAUGGUAUGAACUUUGAACUCGUGUUCACUACAGAAGUGAUAUCUCCUAGCCGUUGAGUUGGCAACAGCUGCUACAAACGCAGGUUAGGAAGGACAGUCCGAGUAUCCCGUCUUCCACACACAACGUUACUACAAAGUAUCCCGUGACAACCAGAGACAUUCUCCAAAAGACAGAGGACUCGGGUUGGCGAUACGUUCUUCCAUCUACCACCAACCUACUGAAGCGCAGCUCAGAGUGGCUGUGAUGUUCUGGACUAUCUCUAUGUUGCCACGCAUUGGCUCUAGUUAUGAGCUCCAGGAUACCAUUCAUGCUUUGAAAGACGAGAAUGUCCACCUUCACCUCCGUCUGGAGAAUCUCACCCGCGCUCUCCGCAAACUGAAGCAUCUGCUCUUGGAUCACUCAAGAGGUAUCGGUCCUGAGAAACUUCACCUGCUGGAACAGGCUUUCUGCUGGCCUGAUCUCCAAGGAGCUGCCAGUCCUAUUUUCAUCGUACCUGCCUUCUUCCUCCUUACUCCAAUCAUUGUCUGGUUGAGCCAUCUACUUUUCUGACUUCUGUGAACUUGAGAAUACAGAAAUCACUAUUGUUAGCUUGGUCCCAGAUCUGUUUGUGUUUUCUUGCCAAAUCCGCCAACUCCUAUGGUCAGUGUGUCACGCAUGAGUUAGUGUAGGAUCCCGUAUUAUCGGCAUAUUAAACAAUGUUUAAGAAAUAUAAUACCUUCAACAGUGUUAUCCUGUGAUCAAGCCAUCAAUGUUUUGUGAUUAUUGGUGUUUGUUACGUUCCCCAGUUUCUGUGUUCUGUUUUGUAUUUUAGUGUGUGUGUUUCAGGAGAUGGCUUCCUGAAGUACUCCCCAACCAGCUGAUUGGUCAACCCCAGGCUAAUUGGUGAUUGGAGCUGACCCCGCCCCCUCGUCAAGAAGCAGCUGACUCUAAUCACCAUUGCCACCCGAAGAUAAAAGCCAGUGUUCUGCCCCUAGAGAUCGGUAGAGGAGAGAGAUUUGAGAUAAGGAGUAGAGAUUUGAGAUAAGGAGUAGAGAUUUGAGAUAAGGAGUAGAGAUUUGAGAUAAGGAGUAGAGAUUUGAGAUAAGGAG